CUAUGCGGGUUGAAAGAGGAAUCAGCAGACCACCUGUUUAGCCGUUGUUUUUUCAGCAAGUUCAUUAUUGUGACUGGGGUAGACGAUAUUCAGACCCGUGACCUGGGGGUUGAUGUGAAGCUCGUUUGGGAUAGGUGGAAGGAUAGAAAGGAUCAACGAAGAAACAGAUCUAGUUUGACUGAACUAGUAGGUUGCUGGUGGACCAUUUGGAACGCCAGAAACGACUUUAUCUUCCGGAAUAUAGUGCCAAAUUCUGAGCUAGUGGUCCAUAGACUAAAGCUUCUCUUGAAGGAGUGGGAUAUCUUACUUGAUUCAUAGUUUUUUAUUUUUUUAUUUUUUUAAUUUUUUUCGGUUUCUUAGCCUCCGGGGCCAAGUUGCCCAACACUUGUAGCUUAAUUCACCAAUCCAUUGAAUGAAGCGGCUAG
rnacentral:lncRNA from 1 species